rnacentral:rRNA from 1 species
GAGUUUGAUCCUGGCUCAGAUUGAACGCUGGCGGCAGGCCUAACACAUGCAAGUCUAGCGGUAACAGGGGAGAGCUUGCUCUCCUGCUGACGAGCGGCGGACGGGUGAGUAAUGCCUGGGAAUAUGCCCUAAUGUGGGGGAUAACCAUUGGAAACGAUGGCUAAUACCGCAUAAUCUCUACGGAGCAAAGGGGGGGACCUUCGGGCCUCUCGCAUUAGGAUUAGCCCAGGUGGGAUUAGCUAGUUGGUGAGGUAAGGGCUCACCAAGGCGACGAUCCCUAGCUGGUUUGAGAGGAUGAUCAGCCACACUGGAACUGAGACACGGUCCAGACUCCUACGGGAGGCAGCAGUGGGGAAUAUUGCACAAUGGGGGAAACCCUGAUGCAGCCAUGCCGCGUGUAUGAAGAAGGCCUUCGGGUUGUAAAGUACUUUCAGUUGUGAGGAAGGUGGUAGCGUUAAUAGCGUUAUCAUUUGACGUUAGCAACAGAAGAAGCACCGGCUAACUCCGUGCCAGCAGCCGCGGUAAUACGGAGGGUGCGAGCGUUAAUCGGAAUUACUGGGCGUAAAGCGCAUGUAGGCGGAUUAUUAAGCCAGAUGUGAUAGCCUUUGGCUUAUCCUGGGAAUUGCAUUUGAAACUGGUAAACUACAGUCUUGU